UUCAGUCACCGCGCUGUUGUCUUUGCGUGUCGACGCGUCUGAUUUAACGUACGUCUGUCUCUUCGGAAUUCACAUCGCGAAACGUUCAGUUCGAUUUCUAUUCGGUUUCCGAUCGAAUUUUGGUGAUGUGAAAGCGUUCAGUGACUGCUGACUAGACGUGCGUGUUGUGAAAGUGAUCGGAGAAAGGGAAGAGCUUUUGGCAAUGAUGCGCCAUUGACUUGACUUCGAUCUACACGAACGUACCAGGAAAUCCAAUUACUCACUGUAUGAGGUGGCACGCGUUUCGAUUGAACGCGACGGAUCAAGGAAGCUAGUGAUACGUUGCGUAAAAGAUGGCAGAUGUUGAUCGGAGAGAGAUCGAUCGUCGAUCAUCCGAGCAAGGAAGGAGAAGCGGCGAAGGACGAUACAGAGGAGGAAACAAGAGGAAACUACUUUGACCACAGCACGCGGACACGAUCUUCGAUAAUUCGAUUUGAACGGUGUUUCCUCGCUGCAAGUUGACACGGAUGAACCAGGCUACGAGUUUCAUCGAUCUUUCAGCACAAUCCAGGCUGAAGAAAAAUCUUGGACACCGACGAUUCAACGAUUCAACGAGAAAAGAGCGUUUGCCAGGGUUGCUGGCGAUUGAAGGAGAAUACCAGAGGAAACGAACAGGAUCGGAUAUAACGUUCAGCCGAAAUUGGGUGGGAAAAAAAAAAGAAAAAAAAAAAUUGUCUAUAACUUUAUUAAGGAAAAGAAAAAUGAGUUUCCUGGCUCGUUUGGUUUCAUCCGAAUUCAGCUCACGCGAGAGCAGCAGCUUGCAGGAAUCAGGGAUGGCGGCAGUGGAAAGGGGUUGACGGCGGUGCACGGAGAGGGAUGGUGCCCCAAGGGUGUGUUCCGGAAUCGGGGCGUUACGUAUCAAAAGAGAUUUCAUAUUGAAACGGGGUAAAACGUAUAAAUUACCCCUAAGAAGAAAAGAAACGGUGUAUUAAAGCAAUUUGCAAAGAGGAAAUUCACUGGUGAGCCGCAAUUUUCCCUGUACGAAACGAAAAAGAAGAGGGACGAGGAGGUAGCGAAGAGACGAAGAAAAAUAAAACAAGCUAGAAGAGUGGGUUGGUUCGUAGAAGAAGGGACAUAAUGGCAGACAUUUCAACUGGCCACUGCCAUCGUUCAACGGUUCGAACUGGUUCAGGGGAGUGGACGAGAGUACUCACCCCCACUUCGAUAUCCAUCGAAAAUAUUUCCAGCCAUUUUUCGCCCCACCAACGCGGUCUUAAGAAGACCGAGGGUUGUUGAGAGACUCACUCUGAGGGGUUAAAACAAUGGAAAAAGUACCGCCAUCUUUAAUUCCUUCUCCAUCCACCCACCAGCGUAAACGAGCUAAGGCUUUGGCCUCCAGGGUGAGAAGAAAGAAAACCCUGGGAUCGAUAAAUACUUCUUCUACCUCUUUCGUCCAUUGAAAUAAAGCGAUUCCUCGAGGGAUUUUCAUUACUUCUACGAAGGUCUAUUAAACUCAAUUAAUGUUAAAGUAGAUAGAAUUUGAUUGGAGCAAUCAGAAUGGUAGCUAUUUUGAACGCGUUAUAUUGAAUAGAUUUCCAGUAGAAUUAAAAUCUAAAUAGCGAGACUUCACCCUUGAUAAAGUCACGUAUUAACAACCCCUGAUAAAAACAAGAAGCUUCCCCUUCUAAAUGUCAACUCUCUCUCUUCAAAGCUUUUACCAUUGGUCGCGAAGUAAGCUUCGAAACAGGAACCUGUAUUCCCAGCGUAUCGAUUAAGAAAAUACUAUUUAUUAAUUAUAGGGGACGAAGUGAAGUGCUUAGGUUUCUUGACAGCUUCUAUUUUCCAUAAAGACCUACAGAAUAAUUUUGUGAAAAAUUAGUCUAUUUUUAACGACAGUUAGGUGACGAGAUAGAGCAGACGUUGCACUUGAAAACGCAUUUGGUUUCAAGUUGAUACGCUCAGCGGUUCCCGAGACACGGGGCUUUAAAGAAUUACAUAGGAUUUUUAAAAUUUAUGAAUGGUCGAAAUUCCAAGAAGCGCCGUGACCGACUUUUUUUCCUGGAAAUGCGUACUCGCGCCGUAGUAGAAAAAACCGGUUUCUCAGCGCCAGUAGUGACCGCGACUGAAUGGACAUAGGGCAGGUCAGUGAAUAGUAGUGACAGAUUCGAGUCUGCGACAAAUCAAACUAGUUUUUUAAAUUUUAGGGAUAGCUUCGAGCGGCAAUUCCUCCGCAAUGGAAAGUCGCAUUGACGCCCAACAAAAUUCAUUUUAAAGAAGAAGCUUCGAUAUUUCUUCCGGUAUAUAAUUUGUUCAAUAUUUUUUAACAGCUGCGGAGUAAUAUUUAUGUAAAUUUCGUGAACAAAAAUUUCGGUUUUAAUGACAAUACUUUCUCAAAAGUCCUUUUUUGUUCAUUCAUCGAGAUUGAUAAUUAAAUUAAAUUUACAAUAGGUAUAGUUUGUAAAAAUUUUUAAUAAUUUUUAAUAAUUACGAUCUUUUGUGUAUAUCAAUUCAGAUACUUGUUUCAUAGAGGUACCUUAAAACCACUCGCUCCUUUUACCUCCACGAACCACGUGAAUUUAUAAGGACGUGCAAUUCAAAGUGCAAGGGAAUUAGAACGUACUUGUAACAAUAUUUUGCUCGACGAUAUAACGAUGCAGUAAUGUAGAAGUAAUAAAACGAUGCUGCAUAGAACAAUAGCUGAAUGUACCUUCUAUGUCACAUAAUUACUUCUUGUGUACUUAGAAUUUGACGUUUCCUUUAUCAUUUGCGCAGUAGAUGCAAAUUUAUGUUAAUAAUAUUUUUUUGAAGCCAGAUAUGUAUAGAGUUCAAAUGCAACAGGCAGGCAGCUAAAAAUUUAUAUAUACUUUAUAUUUGAUUUUGCAAUUAAAUUGUGAAUAACGCUUACACACCAUCAAUAAUAUAACAAAUGACUAUUAUUUAUUUUCAAAUUAAGUGGGAUUGUUAUUUCAUGGAAUUCAAUAUAGUUCAAAGUUAAUGAUCCCUAUUUAACUCGUACAGACGUUCGCUUCGCGUCAGUCUGUCCUUGGACAUCGAAGAGGCAGGACCUUGGUCUUGUUCCUCUCUUGUAUACGGAUUUUGUCAGGUAUUAUUUAUUGUUACAUUUUACGAUUAGUGCACAAAUUAAAAUGUUAAUAACAAUUUAAUUGCAAAAACCUCUAGCGACAUUUAUUAAAAAAUAAUGAACACCACUUGUCCUCUUAUCAGUCGAGUUACCGACUCGAUAACUUAUCAAUCAUGCUUCCUGUAGUCAAUGCUUAUCGACAAGUAGUUUUUAUACUAUUUUACCGACUGUGGGUACGUAUGGGA